ensembl:snRNA U6 U6 spliceosomal RNA
AUGCUCAUUUUGGCACCACCUAUACUAAAAUUGGAACUAUACAGAGAAGUUGAGAAUGAUCCCUUGCACAAGGAAACCACAAAAAUUCAUAAAGUGUUCCAUAUUAAA